UUAACAUUUUUAUUCCAUGCUUAAUCUGAGCUUCACUUCAUAUAUCCGAAUCCUUGUGUGUCGGUUUGUUUUAAUUAAUUUAAAUCAUCCCCAGAAUUCAUAUAAGUAGAUCCGGCUUGAUCGUAUAUGAGUAAUAGAUGUUAUAGUUGAAAGAUCCCGAAAUCUUAUAUUGAUCCUAUUCUGUCAUCUUCAGUUUUGUCUUGCUUCUGUUUGGUGUCUUAAAUGAUUGGCUUCAUAUUCUGCUUCAGUUAGAUUUCAGUUCAGAUCGCUUGAUUGAAUUUUUUUUUGAGUAUCUAGCUUUAAUUGGACUGUAGAAUGUUUUUGGCUUGGGUGGUGCUUCCCUUUCCCUAAUUUUGUGGCCAAUCUUCCCAAAGCAGGCAGUAGAUAUAAUCAGAAUUAGUAAACACCAUAGCUGUAGACCUUGGAUUGUAGUAAUGUUCAUUUUUUUUAAGCCACUCGAGACAAGGCUGAGAUAACGCUUUUUAAACACAUGGCUUUCGUUAAAGUCCUGAUGAGUAUCAGUUAAGAGAUACUAGCUUUUCAGUUUUAUGGGCAUUAUGCUUGGGUACUGGCCAACAUGAGAGUAACGCAUAAAUGAUAGAUUCAUCAAAGUUUAAUGAAUUCAUAAGAUUACUCAUGCAUUUGCAAUUUCCCAUAGAGCCUGUUUCUUAGUUUAUUUGAUGUGGAAAUUCGAUUAAUUGUUCACGUUUUUUAAAGUCCUCAUUCGUGUAUAUGGAUUUCCUUGAAUUUAUGAGUUGUAAAUUGAACGAUAGUGUUACUUUACUUUGUUUUCUUAUUUUAUAAAAGAAUUAUAUCGUUACUCUAAUCUUCUAUUAUUUUCUUUGUUUCGCAUGUACAACCGGAGUCGAAGUAUGGAGUUUGCAUAUCUGUGCCCAAUCUUGCUUGAGCUGAAAAUCACGAAAAAUCUCAAUCUCUCGUGAAAGUCAAAAAUGGCUUUUUCACCUCUUUAUACACCAUCUCUGUCAUCUCAUUUUCAUUCUUCUGACAUUUUGUUUAUAUGUUUGGUGUGACUAACAUUUUAUAUUAUUUUAUUUUUCUGACUUAGAUGAACGUUAGCAAAUUAGUGAAGUUUAAUAAUGGGUAGUUAAUUCCACAAAUUCAUACUCAUUUCUAGUUAUGUUGUAAACUAUUUAUGGUAUUUAUAAUAUUUAUUUGAGGAAUUGACAUUCAAAACGGCAUGACUAUAUAUUUUGAGUCAAAGGAAUCAUUCUUUACUUUAUUAUCUUAAAAAUUUCAAAUCGUCACUAAUAUGUAAAUAUUAAUCCAAGUAUACUUUAUAAACAUUAUUUUUAAGAUUUAUUCAACUAUGUACACUUUUAGUCGAAUAUAAUUAAAUAAAGUUAAUAAAAAAGAAAAUUCAUGUCCUUUGUAUCAUAUUUAUAAAGCUAGAUUUUGUUUGCAUUGUUAUAUUAACACAAUUUUAUCCUAAGUUUUAACUUCGCUAAACUUACUGCCUAUAUGAAAAUCAUUACCUUUUCAAGUUCGCUUUCAAUAAUACUUAAAAUAUUUUCUAAUACAAAUCGUUAUAUUUUACAGGUCUUAUUUUUAAUAACAUUACUACAUUUUCCUUUAAAAUUUUAGCAAUAUUUAUGAGCUAUUUUCCAAACAUUCAAAAUAUUAUAUUUACACUUAGCCUACCUAAUCGUAAGUCCGGUCGGUUAACCAUUGUUAAUGGGUCUUAAAGGGUGCCUAAUACCUUUCCUUUAGACUAAUUGAACCCUUACCUAGAAUCUUAAGUUUCGCAGACCUUAAACAGAGCUAACUUUAGAAAAUAACUUUAAUAAACUUUAGGUGUCCUAAUUCACCAUGAAUAAUUAGGUGGCGACUCCUUAAAACAAAUAAACAAAAACAGGAAUCUUCAAUACGUCAUACUUCUACCAUUAACUCCGGUUAAAAAGGGGGUGUGACACAGUUCAUUAAACAUCAUCUUCUUUGGAAAUUACAAUGCAGGAGUGGUGAAAACUCCCUUGAAGCUCUCAAAAGAUAACGUGGAGCUGCAAUUUUCUGCCUCGUUGCGUUCUGCAGUAAGAUGCAGAUUCAAUUGAAAUCAAGAAAAUUCGUGGAAAAGCCAGAAAAAAGGUCUUGAGAAUGGAAGUAAUCUAUGAAAAAAGGAUGAUACAAGAGAUCCCAAUUGGUAAAAGAAGGUCACCUAUGGAAAUUCAAUCAGCAAAGCGCUAUCAAGCGAGUGGGGAAUAAUCCCUCGAAAUUUUGUUUCUCUUCAAACAAGUGGAAUGAACUCACAAGAGAGGAGAAAGCACAAUGAUUAGAUAUUGUAUUUUUCAAGACAAUCUCAUUUUUGUCAUAGGAGAUAUUAGUUCGUCAUAAAUUGACUACAUUUGUGACAAAACAUAGUCUUUUUUCCUAAAUUGCCUUCUGAUCAGUAAUAUAAUUCAAUUUUUGACUACA